rnacentral:tRNA from 1 species
UCUCUGGUGGUCCAGUGGUUAGGACUUUGCACUUUCAUUGCCAGGGCCCAGGUUCAAUCCCUGGUUGGGAAU